AGGACGCUACUCCAGGAUCUCUGACUUACAGCUUGAUGAGCAGAUAAGACAGUUAACUGGUGUUAAUUAUGAAAUUGGACCAGAAGCAGUCAGAGCAAGGCUGUAUGCAGAGGGAAUACUUGUACAAAGACAUAUGAGGGCAAGCAUGCUAAGAAUUGAUCCUGAGGGUGCUGCCUACAGAGCUAUGUCUCAUCGGCUUCAGAGGAGGGUCUAUCGAGUUGCUGGGCCGAAUUCUCUCUGGCACAUUGAUGGGAAUCAUAAGCUUAUCAGGUGGAGAAUUGUGAUUCAUGGUGGAAUUGAUGGGUUCAGCAGGCUUGUGGUAUUUCUUAAAGCUUCUAAUAACAACAGAAGUGUCACAGUCAUGGAACAUUUUGUGAAUGCAACAGUGGAGUAUGGAAUACCUUCCAGAGUAUGAUGUGACCAUGGUGGGGAAAGCAAUGCCGUUUGUCUGUUCAUGGAAGUAUCCCAAGGGCAUGGCAGAGGAAGUGCAAUGAGAGGCAGGAGCACCCACAAUCAAAGAAUAGAAAGAUUAUGGGGAGAUGUUUGGAGAGGUACUGUUAAUGUUUACCACUCAAUAUUUACACUUCUGGAAGACGACGGGAUGAUUGAGCAUACCAAUGAGAAACACGUGGGCCUUGCAUUAUGUGUACCUACCCAGACUCAAUAGGGAUUUACAGUUGUUUGUAAAUCAGUGGAAUUACCACAGACUGAGGACUGCCAGGUACAUGUCCCCAUACCAGAUUUUUGUAAGAGGCUGCCUUGCAAUGCAACGUCGAGGUCGAACAGGAAUACGUGGAAUUUUUCAUGACACACCACAAGGAGUCACUACUGACACCCCAAACCCUUUACCCAAGCUUCAGUUGCCUCCGGAAGUAGUUGUCCCAGACAAUCAGUUUACUGUAUCUGAAGAACAUCAGCAACAGCUUCAAGGGCAUAUUGACCCAUUAGGUGGAGCAAGAGACAGCCUUGGAAUAGAUGUGCUACAAGAAGACCUUGGUUUCUUAGCAGUGCACUAUCCAUAAUUAUACAACAGUUCUUUCUGGUUCUCGAAUCUGAUUGGCUAAGAGCUAUGCGAUAUUGUGCUGAUAUCAGCACUGUAACCGCUUCACAUUUCGUAUCAUUCCGCCACCUAGUGAAUGGAGGUCCUAAGCAGGCUCAUCUCUGAAUGGAAAAACACAGACGAGCUGUUUUGAAUCACUCUCCGUGUGUCUCAUUAGUUUACUAGCUCAUAAAUCAGUCUGUGAAUCCCCAAUCGGAAGUUAUUAUUCCGUCAAAGAUCAGCGCUCUUGGAUGUUACGUUAAAGUUAAUGGGAGAAAUGUCUUGUCACAUCGUGUGGACGAUUAACACUUGGAAAGAGGAAUAUAAACACUCGUUUUUUUUCUGGAGCUAUAUUUCUUAUCAGAACGCGAAAACACCGUGGAACUGCAGGUAAGCACUGCAGCUUUUAAAUGUGGACAUUGAUCAUUUACUUUAUCGUGACGUGACUAUUAAAACAUGUUAUGAGAUAUCGCCACUGGUAUACCGUUAUUUAUAAGCAGCAUGCAAAAACAUCUCUCUGACACUUAUAAAAAAACGUUUUAUAUAGUACUGACAAGAACAAAGUUUAAUAAUAAUAAUCGAGUGCUCGUAUCACGUUAAGAAUAAAUGAGAAAGCAAUAGUAACGUUAUACAAGUAUAGUUUUAUUAACUUUUACCUCGCGCCAAAACAAUAACAACACAAAAGACACUAAAUAUGAAUAAAAAAACAAGUAAUAGUUUGAUGAUGACACCAAAUACUGCUGAUUUGAUCUCAUUUUGAUGAUCAUAAACAAACAAGGCCAACAUGAGAGCCAGGGAAUCCCUGUCAGAGAUGUAGCCCAGAGAGGGCUGUGGUCAGCGGGGCGAGUGAACACUGACGUCCGCUCAUGCUUUGGUUCUCAUUCGUACCGAAUCUCACUAAGCAAACGUUCAAACAGGCGCUAUCUUUACUAAUCGACUGCAGAUUUAAAUAUAAUACAUAUACAUUCUCGACUGAACUAAUCUUAAAACUACACUUUGUGACCAAGAAACGGUAAUAUAAAGUAACGGCUUUUCCGUCCAUUGAGUUGUUAUGAGCUUCAAAGCAGCCGAAAGUUUUACCUGUCAUUCUGGCCGCCCUCAAAUCCGUGGCGGAAGAAGUAGUUCUCAAACAAAGAGGCUUUUAAAAUAACUCCGUUUUCUAGUUUUCGUUUUUCAAACGUGUGCCGUCGAACUGUUGUAUAAAAGCAAUAUCGCUCUCGGAAUCGUGUGAUAUAGCUCUAUAUCAUCACGGCUGUGAUUAGGCCAGAGGCACGAGGCCGUAGAGCUAUAUCACACUCCUACUUGAGCGAUAUUGCUUAAAUAUCUUUAGAUAUUGUAACUAGUUUGUGUUACAAUGUAUGCAGAACUGUUCUGUACUGUGAAUACUACACUUAUAAUUUUGUGUAUAUGCUACUUUAAGAUUAAACAUUCUAAAAUUGCUGAAAAAAUUACAAAUAAAUUGUUUUGAUACCAUUGAUGUCUAAAUUUCUGGAAACAAGAAACACAGCAACUGCAUAUUUAAGAAAUGUGUCGAUUUAAUUAAUACCAUGGAUGUCUACAUUUCUUAAAACAGACAGCAAAAUAACGUGCAGUCAGUAACAGCAUAUUUAUUUAAAAACUUUAAUACCAUAGGGGUCUACACACAAACACGCGUCACAAUGAACAGUUAUUAACAUCGUCUCCAUAACAUGUCCCACUAAAAUAUUACCGAGGUGGCAAGGGAGACUAAUCAAAAUCGUACCAUGGUUUGUUGUUCAGUUAGUUGUGAAACUGCGACACCUCUUGAUAAACUUUCAGUGGGAGACAGUGCCUCUCGCUUAAACCUAUAGACUACUCAAAUAGACCCCAGGUGUGUGGUAGCUUUGCCUUUUAAUAUUUUAUUAGUGGAGCAAUUUGGAAAAUUGAGAGGCAAUCUUAUCAUUAUGACAUUGGGCUCAUCUUGGUUGUCGGGUAUUUUUAAAUGUAUCCCUCCCCCAUAAUUCUGAGCAUAAUCAGAAAUAAGGUAUCAAGUCACAUUUUAUCUUAUUUACCCAAGGAUGUUAAAUCCACAAAUUCUUAAAAUCGGCUAUUGUUUUUACCAGAAACAUAGAGAGGAGCCUAAUAAAAAUAAAUAAACAAAUUUAAUAAAUAGGCUGCAAUUUAAAAAAUAAAAUGUCCUUUACAUAAACAAAUAACAUUUAAUGAGCUGAAAUAUUCAUAUAUAAUAUGAAAAUAGAAUGCCAAUUCUAUUUCAAGAAUUUCAAAAAUACUUUUUAUUUUUAGGCAUGUAAUUCUUUCUUUUUGAUCAUUAUUGUUGUUCUUCUGUUU